ensembl:snRNA U4 U4 spliceosomal RNA
AGCUUUGCGCAGUGGCAGUAUCGUAGCCAAUGAGGUUUAUCCGAGGCACGAUUAUUGCUAAUUGAAAAAAAAAAAAAAACCACC